CUCAGCAUACCAAAUGAACACUGACAUACUCUUCCAGGUCCGAAUUCGCAUCGCCUGAGCCAUAAUAAAUCCGUCGAACCACCACGAUACCACCACCAAUCUAUCCGCCUUGGCCCGAAACUAUUCGGCUGUAAUGGAAUCAGAGCGAAAACGGAGUACCUGCGAAGAGCUCGUUGAUUGUAGCAUUGUGAAGAAGAUGAAGAUGACGAAUCAUGCGUAAAACAAGUAAACGCGAAUUCUCAAAAUCUUAUUUCCCUAUUACAAAUUCUUCCUUCAUCUUCUCUGUUUCUGUUUUUCGUUUUCUUCCGUAUGUGUUGUUGUUGCAAUAAAGGUGAGAUGAUAACUAGGGUGUGAGAUGGAAGAGUGAAGGUGAAGCUUCUGGUCUGAUUCUCAUAGAGGGAGUUAUGAGAUGAAGAGGUUCAACGAGCCAAUGAAUGGAGAGUGGGAUGAAUGUUUUUUAGCUGAAAAUGAGAGGGAAUUGAGAGAGUUUGAAGGUGAAGGUGAAUUGAAAAAUCCAGAGUCUCAAUUGAGUUGUGGUGUUUGAGUUAUAUAGUGAUUGGAAGGGUAGUUUAGGAAUGAAUUUGAAAGUAGCUUCAAACUGAAAUUCUGUUAGGAGUCUGUUAUAUGAAAAAUUAGUUUGGAAAAAUGCGAUUUACUGAAAUCAAAAUUAGUCAUGAGUUUUUUUUUGUGAUGCUAUUUCAUGAGCUAGAAAUGUUUUUGAAUGCGAAGCUGAGUUUAUGUUAUCCUGCGGUGUAUGAACUUGCUGCUAAGAUAUCAAAACUGCUAGGUGUUGUUUGUAUUGUUUGGUAUCCAUUAGUGAUUCUGCUAAGGGUCAUGUUCGUGAACCCUGUUGGUCUGCUAAUGUUAGUUAGAGUGUUGGAUGUUAAGCUGAAACUAUCAAUAUCAUUGUUAGUUAAUUUGUUAGAUGAACUUGAUUAAAGUUAGUCAUUGAAUGGUGAUAUUUGUAUGGUUGAUAUUUGCUUGUAUUUUCUUUUAUUGAAUUGAUGCAAGUUUUGUGAAAUGUUAUUAAAGCUUGGACAUGAGAUGAAGCACAGUAUGAUGAUGUGAGUUACGGGCUACUGCAAGUUGUUUGGUGAAUGAAGGGUUAUGGCAGUUUGUGGCAUAGUUUGUGGCAUGUUCUGUUUUGGUGUACUUUGGCAUGCUAUGCUGAAUUUUGAUAGCAGGAUUCUUGGAAUUGGCUUGUGUUGACAUCUUCUUGCUUCAGGGUCCAUGUUCUGACUCGUGAUUUGCAGGAUUCUUGGAAUUGGCUUGUGUUGACAUCUUCUUGCUUCAGGGUCCAUGUUCUGCAUCAUGUUCUAAUGUUUGGGUUCUGUAGCUCAUUCUGACCAUGUGCUCAUGAAGUGGAUAAUGGCCUAAAAUAAGAAGACCUCAAGUUCACCCUUUGAAAUGCUAAAGACAAGUGGCAAAGAUCAAGGAUUAGCUCUAGAGAAUAGAAAUAGGAUCUAGGACUUAGGGAAGAUUUGAGUUGACUUUGGUCAAAGUUGACAAAAAAGUUAACUGUUGACCAAAGUCAACACUUGGUCAAAGUUGUCUAAUUUUGUAAUUUUUCAUGUAAUGGAAUAAAAUUGAAAUGGAUUGACUAGUUUGAAUAAAAUUGAAUUGGUUUUUUGA